AUGUGUGGCAACGGGAGAUUGGAACAGAGGCCGGAAGACAGAGGCGCCUUUUCCUGUGGGGACUGCUCCCGGGUGGUCACAUCUCCUGUUCUCAAGAGGCACCUGCAGGUCUUCCUGGACUGCCGCUCAAGACCGCAGUGCAGAGUGAAGGUCAAGCUGUUGCAGCGCAGCAUUUCCUCCCUGCUGAGGUUUGCCGCCGGUGAAGAUGGGAGAUCCAGAGACCAGGAACCCUGGCAGAAAUCCUCCUUCCUUCACUUGGUUUCCUUCUGGCUAAGAGCUACGAAGUGAAGAGUGUCCUCGGAAAGGAAGUGGGGUUGUUAAAUUGUUUUGUCCAGUCCGUAACCGCCCACCCGACCAGCUGCAUUGGAUUGGAGGAAAUCGAGCUUCUGAGUGCAGGAGGGGCCUCUGCAGAACACUAGCGGUUGCCGCAGGAUCUGUGAACUUUGCAAUGUGGCUGCAAGGGUGGUGGUGGUGGUGGUGAU
rnacentral:lncRNA from 10 species